rfam:Ovis aries breed Texel chromosome 2, whole genome shotgun sequence.
UCCCUGGUGGUCCAGUGAUUAAGACUCUGUUCUUCUACUGCAAGGGGCACAGGUUCGAUCCCUGUUCAGGGAA